CCUUUGAUUAUGGGCUCAGGAUGAACGCUAGCUACAGGCUUAACCCUUGCAAGUCGAGGGGCAGCAUGGUCUUAGCUUGCUAAGGCCGAUGGCGACCGGCGCACGGGUGAGUAACACGUAUCCAACCUGCCGUCUACUCUAGGGCAGCCUUCUGAAAGGAAGAUUAAUACAAGAUGGCAUCAUGAGUCCACAUGUUCACAUGAUUAAAGGUAUUCCGGUAGACGAUGGGGAUGCGUUCCAUUAGAUAGUAGGCGGGGUAACGGCCCACCUAGUCUUCGAUGGAUAGGGGUUCUGAGAGGAAGGUCCCCCACAUCGGAACUGAGACACGGUCCAAACUCCUACGGGAGGCAGCAGUGAGGAAUAUUGGUCAAUGGGCGAGAGCCUGAACCAGCCAAGUAGCGUGAAGGAUGACUGCCCUAUGGGUUGUAAACUUCUUUUAUAAAGGAAUAAAGUCGGGUAUGCAUACCCGUUUGCAUGUACUUUAUGAAUAAGGAUCGGCUAACUCCGUGCCAGCAGCCGCGGUAAUACGGAGGAUCCGAGCGUUAUCCGGAUUUAUUGGGUUUAAAGGGAGCGUAGAUGGAUGUUUAAGUCAGUUGUGAAAGUUUGCGGCUCAACCGUAAAAUUGCAGUUGAUACUGGAUAUCUUGAGUGCAGUUGAGGCAGGCGGAAUUCGUGGUGUAGCGGUGAAAUGCUUAGAUAUCACGAAGAACUCCGAUUGCGAAGGCAGCCUGCUAAGCUGCAACUGACAUUGAGGCUCGAAAGUGUGGGUAUCAAACAGGAUUAGAUACCCUGGUAGUCCACACGGUAAACGAUGAAUACUCGCUGUUUGCGAUAUACAGCAAGCGGCCAAGCGAAAGCGUUAAGUAUUCCACCUGGGGGGUACGCCGGCAACGGUGCAACUCAAAUGAAUUGACGGA
rnacentral:rRNA from 1 species